UACGUAGGGUGCAAGCGUUGUCCGGAAUUAUUGGGCGUAAAGAGCUCGUAGGCGGUUCGUCGCGUCGGCUGUGAAAACCCGGAGCUCAACUCCGGGCCUGCAGUCGAUACGGGCGGACUUGAGUGUUGCAGGGGAGACUGGAAUUCCUGGUGUAGCGGUGAAAUGCGUAGAUAUCGGGAGGAACACCAGUGGCGAAGGCGACUACCUGGCCUGUUCUUGACGCUGAGGCGCGAAAGCUAGGGGAGCAAACGGG
rnacentral:rRNA from 1 species